rnacentral:pre_miRNA from 1 species
UCUCACGGAUGAGCAAAGAAAGUAGUUUCUUGAAAUGGAAUCUACUUCUGUUAAGUAUGUUGUGAA